rnacentral:lncRNA from 1 species
GGGUGCGCGGUGAACGCGCGCCAACCCCAACCAUCUCAGCCGCCGCAGUUUCUGGUCGGCCCGGUCAGACGUUCGGUGGUUGUGCCUGCUUGUGGUGGAGACGACGGUGGCUGUAGCCGGCUCGGCAAAGGGUGUACCGUGUAGCGUUGUGGCCACUACUGAGUGCUCUCGUCAAGCCUGUCAGUGCGAACUCAUCUUGAGACUUUGAAGCCACCACGAAGACAUGGCGGCGCCUUCCGGGAACUUGAUCCUGGUGGUGCUCUUCUCUGUCUCUUGUGGACUUGCUGCCGGACAGCAGGGGGGCCGAAAUGCAGCGGCACCGUUCGCCGUCAAUGGUGAGUCGCCUUCUUUGUCC